CCUACGGGAGGCAGCAGUGAGGAAUAUUGGUCAAUGGACGAGAGUCUGAACCAGCAAAGUAGCGUGAAGGAUGACUGCCCUAUGGGUUGUAAACUUCUUUUAUAAAGGAAUAAAACGAGGCACGUGUGCCUUUUUGCAUGUACUUUAUGAAUAAGGAUCGGCUAACUCCGUGCCAGCAGCCGCGGUAAUACGGAGGAUCCGAGCGUUAUCCGGAUUGAUUGGGUUUAAAGGGAGCGUAGAUGGGUUGUUAAGUCAGUUGUGAAAGUUUGCGGAUCAACCGUAAAAUUGCAAUUGAUACUGGCAGUCUUGAGUACAGUUGAGGUAGGCGGAAUUCGUGGUGUAGCGGUGAAAUGCUUAGAUAUCACGAAGAACCCCGAUUGCGAAGGCAGCUUACUAAACUGUGACUGACAUUGAUGCUCGAAAGUGUGGGUAUCAAACAGGAUUAGAUACCCUAGUAGUC
rnacentral:rRNA from 1 species